UAAGUAAACCACAUUCACGAUUCAUGAAAUCAAGUCAUAUAAAACAUAUGAUCAUGGCUUUGAAUUCCCCUCUAACUAUAAAGAAAUUAGUUCCUCAUGUUCGCAAAUAAACAAAGAUAAAUAAAUUUAAACAUUCUAACAAAGAUAGAAAACACCUAGAAUCGCUCCACAAUCCAAGCUCCUUGAAUGGCAUGCACGGCUCCAAGAGUUCUUCCUUCUUUUCCUUGCAAACUCACGGCACAAUGAGGGAUGUUGGGUGAAUGGUGUAGUGAAAAUAUGGUAGAGGAUGGUGAAUGAAAGGGUGCGGCAAUGGGUUGAAUAUAUAGGCUGAAAAUCCCAUCUCCUAGGUAGCAAAGGACAAGGUUUUAAAGGCCUAAAUUGCAUAGGAUAAUAACAUCCAAUCCUAUAAGGAAAACAAGUCAAAAACCCAAAGGGAUUGGGAGAUAAGGUGCAGCACAAAGAGUGUGAAAUGAUAAGGUUUCUAGAAACCAAAAUCCUAAAGGAAAUAAGGUAGAAAAUUCGGCCCAAAAUGUGAUUUCUAGAAGGAUAAUGCAAGGCAGAUUUUUAGGCUUCUAGAAAGGUUCUUAGGUGUCAUCUUGGUAGGAUAAGAUAAGGUCUUCUAGAAAUCCCAUUUUAAGCAUCCUAAUCUAGUUAGAAACCCUCCUAAGUGGCUGGAAUGUGGAUAGUUUUAGGAUUAGGAUAAGAUAAGAUAGGAUAAGGUUUGUUUGGAUAAGAUAAGCUAAGAUAAGGUUAUGGAUGAGGUUUUGGAUAAGAUUCCUUAUCUUGAGCUGAUUCUUUGGCUUUAAUUCUUCUUCUUCAUGUAGGAAACCUUGCUUGAGUAGGAAACUUCAUACAUCUAGGAAUCCAUCUUCAAUUAGGACUCCUACAUUGAUUAGGAAUCCCAAUUCAUUUAGGAAUUCUCGUUUAAGCCCUUUCCUACUUCAACUAGGAACUUUGUAUCUUCAAUUCUUCAACUUUGAAACGCCUUUCUAGCUUCAUCAAUCCCUCAAAUUCGUCCAUCCCUUGUGCUUCAUGUGCAUGAACUUCAUUCUAGCCCAAUUUUGCUCCAAAAUGCUCCAAAUUGCAUCCUUUUGCUCACUUUGUCUCUAAAACCUGAAAACACAUAAAAAUAGCUUAAAAGACUAACUUAACUAAGAAAACACAACAUAAAUGCAUAAGAACUAACUAACUAAGGCGCAUAAAUAUGCUCCUAUCAAAUUCCCCCACACUUAGCUUUUGCUAGUCCUCGAGCAAAGCAAUGAAACAAAACAUAACCUAAACCUUCCAACAUUUGCCUCAGGGAUUCCCAAUGCACAUGACAUAUUAAAAAUCAUCAUUCCCAUAGAUUUUAGUCAUCUUCACACUUAAGCACAUACUUAAUCAUAGUCACCAUGUACUAGUUCACAUAUAACUGAUGCGGAAUAGAUAUGCACACAAAUUAAACCCUCUUUUUGUCAAAUUGUAGCGAAGAUGUAAGUAGGGAUCGUUCUAGACCGGGGAUUAGGAGGGAUUGCUAAACACUUGGAAACUGACUUAAAAACUCAAAAACAAAGUUUAAAACAUGAUAGGAGCAUAUUUAUGCGCCUUAGUUAGCUAGUUCUUAUGCAUUUUCGUUAUGUUUUCAUAGUUAAAGUAGUCUUUUGAGCUACUUUCAUGUGUUUUCAGGUUCAAAGGGCAUAUGACAUAAAAGAUGGCAAAUUGGAGUUUUUAGAGCCUAAUGGAGCUUGGUGUGAAAAGUACAUGCUUGGAACACAAGGUUGGGAUGAAAUUGAAGAUUUGAAGAUUUUGAGGAUUCCUAGUACGAGAAGGAUUCCUAGUCCGAGGAAGAGUCCUAAUUGACGAAGGAUUCCUAAUCAACGAGGGAUUCCUAGUUGAAGAUGGAUUCCGAGAAGAACGAAGAUUCCUACUCAAACGAGGUUUCCUACUUAAAGUAGGAAAGCUAAGCCUAAAAGUUUCCAUUUUGGGUUGAUCUUUCCUAAACUUAAAUGGCCUUGCGUUUUAGCAACAUUGGAAGGUUCCGAAGCGUUGGAAGACACGAAGAAUGGUUCUAGAACAUUUUCCUCCUUCUUACCGUGGGUUGGGUCUAUUUUCUCUUGGUUUUGGGCUUUCUAGAAGCCCUAUCUACAAACCCUAACCCUUUGCCGCACCUAGGCCUCAAAAGUAUCUGAUUUCCUUGCCUUGCAAGGCUUUCUAGAAGCCUUAACCCUAGCCCACCAAACCUGCCGCACCCUAGGCCUUUUCCCAUGCAAUUUCUGAUUGUUUUAACCUAUUUUCUGGUGGAUUUGGGUUUCUAGAAACCCUAAUCUGAUUGCUAGGGUUUUUAAGUGCCUAUAUAUACUCUUUUAAACCUCUUGGCCGAACCUAUCACCCCCCAUAUCAUUCAUUCACGCCAAAAACCUUAGUUCCAUCCCUGCCGCAACCUUCCACCCCCAACUUCCCAUAUUUCUGCCACAAUCCACCCUUGCCGUGCCUUCCCACCACCAUCACCACCUUGUGCAGCCACCAUUGGAGGAGGAAGAAGUAGUGCCGUGCAGUCCAAAGGAGGGAGAAGCCUUGCACAUGCAAUCUGCCAUUAGUGGAGUGUUUGGAGUUCUUUCUUUCUUUGUUUCUGUUUUCAUGUUUAAUUUAAAUUGUUGUUCAAUUAUGUUAGACAUGUGGAACUAAUUUCUUUUUAGUUAGAGGUGAAUUUGAAGCCAUGGACAUAUGUUUUAUAUGAUUUGAUUUCUUCCAAUUAUGAUUUCAGAAAUUGUGAAUGUGAUUUACUUAUCUAUUUGAUUGAUAACUUGUUUAUGUAUGUGGGUUGAGGGUCGACACUUAAUUUGCAUGCCUAAACUUGAUGCUAGGAUAUAAGGAAUUUCACCUAAUCGUUAUUAACUUGUAUUCAUAAGUAGUGAAGUCGCUAGUCACGAUUGUGUUAAGUAAAUCCUAGGCAAGAGUAACAUGCGUAUCCCAUAGUUAUGAAUGCCUCGUCAAUGCUUUAUGAUUUCCAUUAAACUUAAUGAUCUUUGAUAUGUGUCUCUAUCAUGCGUAUUCCAUAGUUAGGGUCCUUGAUAAGAAUAAUUUGGUUGUAAUGCGUAUUCCAUUCAAUUCAAUGAAUCUAGGGAAAUCUGAAGAAUUAAUUGGUGCAAUCUAGUUAAUUUGGGGCAUUGUCAUUCAUGGUUUGUUCAAAGAGUAAUUGGAGAUCGAGUUGUAUGCAUAUGUUCAUGUGUGGAUAAGGAACCCUCUAACUAGCUUCUCACCAUUCUAUUUAAUCACAAUCUGUGUUGCUUUACAUUUGUUUUUAAAGUCUGAGUUUUAAAGUUUUAAUUUCGUCAAAAUCAUUCCCCCAUUUAUUUUAAAGUGUUAGAUUAGUUAGAAAUCCAAUUAGUUGUGUUUUUAAGUGUUUUGAGUCAAGUCAUAGUCCAAAUUCGUCCAAACUAGUGUUAUAUACUCAAAACUGCCCAGAAAGUGGUUUUAAGGCAGUUUUGAGCCUUUAAGUUGCUGUUUUGAGUUUUGAGUUUGUUUAGGUGUUUUAAACCCUAGUUUUGCAUUAAUUGAGUCUAGUUUAGUGUUCUACAUUAUAUUUUUUAUGUUCUUGAGUCAGUUUCACAUUGAUUAGCAUCCCUAGUUAAUCCCCGGUUAGAACGAUCCCUAUUUGCUCAUAUACUACAAUUGUCAUCCAUAGGGUUUAAUUUGUGUGUCAAGUUAAUUUUCACAUCAAAACACUAAACUAGACUCAAAGAAUGCAAAACUAAAGGUUAAAACACUUAAACAAACCUAAAACUCAAAACAGCAACCUAAUGACUCAAAACUGCCUAAAAACCACUUUCUGGGCAGUUUUGAGAACCUACAAGAACUUGGACGAAAUUGGGUGAAAACUUGAAUCAAAACACUUAGAAACACAAAUCAAAACACUUUCUAACUAUCUAAGACUUCAAAUAAAGGGGAUUUGUUUUGGACGAAAUUGAAAACAAAACAGAACUUAAAACUAAACAGAUUGUAAAACGUUUUUGGAUGAAAAGGAUGGAUAAAAGGCUAGUUAGGAGGUUCUCUCCACACAUGUCACACUUUGCAAACGAAACGAUUUUCAGUUUUCUUCCAUAAUUAUAAAUACUCACGCCCAAAUUAACCGUGAAUUGCACUAAUAACCCUCAGUUUUUCCACAAGUUAUUAGGUUGGAUGAUUGCAACGACAACCCAAAAUUCCCUAAGUUCCCUACAUGAAUUGCAUAAUAGAGAUACAAGCAAGAAUCAUUACGUUCUAUGAAAACAUAAGCAUUUACGAAGCAUUUGUUACUAUGAUUGCAUGAACUUAUCUAAGAAUUCAUUCAACGCGAUCGUUUUCAAGGCGACCUUCACUACUUGUGUAUAGAUUUAAUAUAGGUGAAACUCCCUCAUAAUCAUCAUCAUAUCAUGCUGUGAUAGGGCAUAUUUAUUGCGCCUUAGUUAGCUAGUUCUUAUGCAUUUUCACUAUGUUUUCUUAGUUUAAAUUAGUGUUUUAAGCUACUUUCAUGUGUUUUCAGGUUUAAUGGGAUAUUAAAAGAUGGCAAUUUGGAGUUUUGGAGCAAAAUGAGAGCUUGGAUUGAAAAGUACAUGCUUGGAACACAAGGUUGGGAUGAAAUUGAGAUUUGAAGAUUUGAGGAUUCCUAGUACAAGGUUCCUAGUCCGAGGAAGAGUCCUAAUUGAAGAAGGAUUCCUAAUCAACGAGGGUUCCUAGUUGAAGAUGGAUUCCGAGAAGAACGAAGAUUCCUACUCAAACGAGGUUUCCUACUUGAAGUAGGAAAGCUAAGCCUAAAAGUUUCCAUUUUGGGUUGAUCUUUCCUAAACUUAAAUGGCUAAUUGAAGAAGGAUUCCUAAUCAACGAGGGAUUCCUAGUUGAAGAUGGAUUCCGAGAAGAACGAAGAUUCCUACUCAAACGAGGUUUCCUACUUGAA
rnacentral:lncRNA from 1 species